rnacentral:tRNA from 1 species
GCCUAUGUAGCUCAGUGGCGGAGCGCUGGUCUUGUAAACCAGUGGUCGUGAGUUCAAUCCUCAAAGGAGGCA